rnacentral:rRNA from 1 species
GUGUCAGCAGCCGCGGUAAGACGGAGGGCGCAAGCGUUGUUCGGAAUUACUGGGCGUAAAGCGCGGGCAGGCGGUCUGUUAAGUCGUUUGUGAAAACCCGGGGCUCAACCCCGGGAAUGCAUACGAUACUGGCAGGCUGGAGACUGGUAGAGGCUAGCGGAAUUCCUGGUGUAGCGGUGGAAUGCGUAGAUAUCAGGAAGAACACCUGUGGCGAAGGCGGCUAGCUGGGCCAGUUCUGACGCUCAUCCGCGAAAGCGUGGGGAGCAAACAGGAUUAGAUACCCUGGUAGUCCACGCCGUAAACGAUGGGCACUAGGUGCCGGGUCUCUAGACGGAUUCGGUGCCGCAGUUAACGCAAUAAGUGCCCCGCCUGGGGAGUACGGUCGCAAGGCUGAA